AUUGAACGCUGGCGGCAGGCCUAACACAUGCAAGUCGGACGGUAGCACAGAGGAGCUUGCUCCUUGGGUGACGAGUGGCGGACGGGUGAGUAAUGUCUGGGGAUCUGCCCGAUAGAGGGGGAUAACCACUGGAAACGGUGGCUAAUACCGCAUAACGUCGCAAGACCAAAGAGGGGGACCUUCGGGCCUCUCACUAUCGGAUGAACCCAGAUGGGAUUAGCUAGUAGGCGGGGUAAUGGCCCACCUAGGCGGCGAUCCCUAGCUGGUCUGAGAGGAUGACCAGCCACACUGGAACUGAGACACGGGCCAGACUCCUACGGGAGGCAGCAGUGGGGAAUAUUGCACAAUGGGCGCAAGCCUGAUGCAGCCAUGCCGCGUGUAUGAAGAAGGCCUUCGGGUUGUAAAGUACUUUCAGCGGGGAGGAAGGCGGUGAGGUUAAUAACCUCGCCGAUUGACGUUACCCACAGAAGUAGCACCGGCUAACUCCGUGCCAGCAGCCGCGGUAAUAC
rnacentral:rRNA from 1 species